rnacentral:rRNA from 1 species
GCAGCCUACACAUGCAGUCGAGCGGGGUUUUCGGACCUAGCGGCGGACGGGUGAGUAAUGCGUAGGAAGCUGCCCGAUAGAGGGGGAUACCAGUUGGAAACGACUGUUAAUACCGCAUAAUGUCUACGGACCAAAGUGUGGGACCUUCGGGCCACAUGCUAUCGGAUGCGCCUACGUGGGAUUAGCUAGUUGGUGAGGUAAUGGCUCACCAAGGCGACGAUCUCUAGCUGGUUUGAGAGGAUGAUCAGCCACACUGGAACUGAGACACGGUCCAGACUCCUACGGGAGGCAGCAGUGGGGAAUAUUGGACAAUGGGCGCAAGCCUGAUCCAGCCAUGCCGCGUGUGUGAAGAAGGCCUUCGGGUUGUAAAGCACUUUCAGCGAGGAGGAAGGGUGGUGUGUUAAUAGCACAUCAUUUUGACGUUACUCGCAGAAGAAGCACCGGCUAACUCUGUGCCAGCAGCCGCGGUAAUACAGAGGGUGCAAGCGUUAAUCGGAAUUACUGGGCGUAAAGCGCACGUAGGCGGUUUUUUAAGUCAGAUGUGAAAGCCCCGGGCUCAACCUGGGAAUUGCAUUUGAAACUGGGGAACUAGAGUGUGUGAGAGGGGGGUAGAAUUCCAAGUGUAGCGGUGAAAUGCGUAGAGAUUUGGAGGAAUACCAGUGGCGAAGGCGGCCCCCUGGCACAACACUGACGCUCAGGUGCGAAAGCGUGGGGAGCAAACAGGAUUAGAUACCCUGGUAGUCCACGCCGUAAACGAUGUCUACUAGCUGUUCGUGUCCUUGUGAUGUGAGUAGCGCAGCUAACGCACUAAGUAGACCGCCUGGGGAGUACGGUCGCAAGAUUAAAACUCAAAUGAAUUGACGGGGGCCCGCACAAGCGGUGGAGCAUGUGGUUUAAUUCGACGCAACGCGAAGAACCUUACCUACUCUUGACAUCUACG